rnacentral:lncRNA from 1 species
GCUAGAACGCAUAGCAAGAGGUAUUGUAACAGGUCUCAGCUCUUCUUGUGUUUCUGUACUGUUCAAGCAUAGUGCCUUGAUCUGUGCCUCCUGCUGGCGUUUGCUAUCAGCUCAUCAACAUGGCUCAGCUGAGUGUCCUUAAUUUGAAGACCAAAACUUGCUGGGCUUCAAGCUGCUUCUUGGUGGAUCCUUUGGGAGAGCUUUCCAACUGCUGUUUGUCAGUCCUGCUCUUGUACUGCACUAGCAGAAUUCUUGUGCAAAUCCAUAUACCAUUACCAAAAAGCAAAUUGAAAGAUGAACAUAACAUGGGUAUAAGGUCAGCAGCCUGAAUCAAACCCACUUCAACCAGUGCAGUCCAGAAUCGUGGGUAUUGUUCAUGUACGUAUACAAAACCAGAAAUAAAACAGCCUGCUAAACUUGGAAGUAUGUGUUU